AGGGUAGUGGCGCAAUUGGUAGCGCAUCGGUCUCCAAAACCGACGGUUGGGGGUUCGAGUCCCUCCUACCCUGCGA
rnacentral:tRNA from 1 species